UUGUUAUUGAUCUCUCUCUCUCUCUCUCUCUCUCUCUCUCUCUCUCUCUCUCUCUCUCUCUCUUCCUGUGUGUGUGUGUGUGUGUGUGUGUGUGUGUGUGUGUGAGAGAGAGAGAGAGAGAGAGAGAGAGAGAGAGAUAGGUACAGUACAC
rnacentral:miRNA from 1 species